UGGGGAAUAUUGCACAAUGGGGGAAACCCUGAUGCAGCGACGCCGCGUGAACGAAGAAGGUAUUCGUAUCGUAAAGUUCUGUCCUAUGGAAGAUAAUGACAGUACCAUAGAAGAAAGCUCCGGCUAAAUACGUGCCAGCAGCCGCGGUAAUACGUAUGGAGCGAGCGUUGUCCGGAAUUAUUGGGCGUAAAGGGUACGCAGGCGGUUUAAUAAGUCGAAUGUUAAAGAUCGGGGCUCAACCCCGCAAAGCAUUGGAAACUGAUAAACUUGAGUAGUGGAGAGGAAAGUGGAAUUCCUAGUGUAGUGGUGAAAGACGUAGAUAUUAGGAGGAAUACCAGUAGCGAAGGCGACUUUCUGGACACAAACUGACGCUGAGGUACGAAAGCGUGGGGAGCAAACAGG
rnacentral:rRNA from 1 species